GCGCGCCAGGCGCCAGGGGAGGCCUGAGUCUGUUUUCGCUUGGAAGAUGGAAGUGCCUACUUCUCUGAGGAGAGACGAGCCCCGCGCCACGUUUAACAUGACAAUGGGACUUUAUUUGUUAUUUAAGGGAGUUUCACUUUCCGUUUUAUGACCUUCAUCCCAGCAUGUUUAGCCGCUCCACCCCUACGCUAUUCAGUUGGUAGAGUCGGCAGAGGUCGACUCCUCCCAGGUGAACGCCGGAGCUCGCCGCGGGCCGACUGACGAGAACCCUCGAGAACUCCGGGGCGGGGCCGACUGUGAAGAUCCCGGAGUGCGGAGUUCUCAGCGCGGAGGCUGCUGCCCCUGGCGUUCAGUGUGGCUGCGCGAAUUGAGUGGGGACGUCCCAUGGCUCUCAGAAAUGUGUGACAGGAAAGCGUUGGGGACCUUUGCACUGUGCCGGGGGACAGGGUAAAGGAAGACCUAGGUCCGACCCCGCCUCCCUAGGCAGUGCCUGGCUUUAUGAAAUAUAGCUGGAGUCUGACACUUUCAAAGCUUGCACCGAACUCAUCCUCCCCAGCGCGCACGCUCCCCGCUUCCUGCAAUACAUGCACCAGCAGCCGAGAAAUAUUGAGGAAUCAUUGAAGAGGAAAGUGAAGAACAUGCCCUUACACUUGGACCAACCUCAUUCUGCCAGCUGGUCCUCAGGGUCCCCCUAAUUCUAACCCUGGGCCUCCAGUGCAAGUCGAGAGACCUUGCUCUAUUGCAGUUCAUGAAACUACUUGCCAUGCAUGUCAAUUUGUCAUCCAGAAACUCUCAGGAGGUAGAGAUCACUUAACACAGUUUUAGGUGGAGCAGUGGCUUAUGGAGUGGCAAAGUUUGGGACUCACUUACUCAACUGAAGAUACCCCAGCCUUGAAGAAGGACCAGUAGAAAAGGCAAUGCCUCAAAGGUGAUACCUGCAUAAGUAAUGUCCACCCUUCUGGUACAGGGAGUUUUGAAAAAAUCCUGUCAUGAGACAAGCAGAAUGUCCAUAAGGCAGACCUGCCAUGAUCAAAGAUAGUCUUCCUCCUGGUUCAAGAUGGCACAGUCCUAGGUGUCACAUGGAAAUACAACCACAUCCAAUAGCAGAAGAGGACUGUCUUUUGACAAAAGGCCUCACUCAGCAGAGGAUCUCCAUCUGAAGAACUUCUCUCCAGGAGUACCCUGGCCUCUCAGGAUGCUGACAGCAGUUUCCUGAGUUUGCUGAUUCAGCCCUGGUCGGCCUGCUCUUGGAGGAUGCUUCAUCAUGUCAGCUUCCUGGUGAUAACCGGCCUUAGCCCACCAUGCCUGUCUAUUCCUGUGCCCUUUCUGAUGGAAUUUCUGCCCAUCCAAAACUGAGCAGUUGUGGAAAGAGAUAGGAAGGGACAGAGAGAGAAACAUCGAUGCAAGAGAAAAACAUCUAUCAGAUGCCUCCCGCACACACCCUGACCAGGGACAGAACCCACAACCCAGAGAGAGGAAAGGAGAAGGAGAGAAAGAUAGAAACAUCGAGGAGAAACCAAGAUGGCGGCAUAGGUAAACAUCGGAGUUUGCUGCCUCGCACAACCACUUCAAAAAUACAACUAAAAGAUGGAACGGACAUCAUCCAGAACCACAGGAAGGCUGGCUGAGUGGAAAUUCUACAACUAGAAGGAAAGAGAAAAGCAUACCGAGACUCAGAGGAGGCGCAGUGCGGAAGUAAAAUACUAAGUUGUAUUUAAGCUCCAGACCCAGAUAAGCAACAAAACCAGCCAUGGCAUCAGGAUCAGCUGCACUGAAUAAUGACCCUGCCCUGGUGCUGGCCAAUCAAUCAGUGGAGACCACAAUCUUGAAUGGACACACCUGGAAAACUGCUUAAUAUUCUAUUAAAGAUCUUUCCCUGGGAACUCCCCUAAAAUCUCUGCCCUUAAAACCCUUAGGAUGGAGGACCCAGUGCUUCGCCCUCCUGGGAGCCCGCCCAUGCCUUUCCUUUCUCCCUCCCUCUCCUGGCCCCAUGUGGAGUCACCAUUAGCUUCCUUACUCCCCAAGGUCUAAGGGCCCUUCCUUUACCACUAUACCUUGUUUCCUAAACCUAUUUCUUCUAAGAAUUACUUUUGCUACCUCUGUAAUUUACCCAGUAAAUGUUCUCUUACAGUUUGGGUCUGGCUCUGAAUUCUUUCUUAGCCAGAACUCAAGUACUGAGGUUGCUGAACCUCAGAGCAGGACACAUGAUCAAGAUGGGGAGGCUGCUGGUCAGACCCACCGGUUGGUCAGACACUUGGUGCCAUCCCUGCCGCCUACAACAGAUCUAGUGCCCCAAGUCCAGGUAAACUGAACCACACCCUCAUGAAACUGGACAGAACAACACCAUGACUGACAUUAGGACCUGGUACAGUGGUCAACUACUUCCUACCCUGGAUGGCAACCAAUCAAUAGAGUCCAGGACCCCAACUUUCCUAGCUAUUCAUAAUUUUUCCAGUAGGUAACCUAUACCAGUAUGGGACAUCAGGGAGCCAGAUCUUAGAGCAAGGAUGUCAAACUCAAAGGCUAACACGGGCCAAAUAAACAAGGUUUAAGUUUAUGUGGGCUGCAAAAAACCCAAAGCUUCAAUUUUCAUAGAAACGUGGGUUUAUUUUGAUAGAAACAUGCUGGAUACAAAGGGCUGAAAUAAAUGAGUAAUCAUUAACAUAAAAUGAUAGAACAUUUUAAUAAAAAUUAAUAUUUUUUCUUGAACAUUAACUAACCAGACACUGAAUAACUUCACAAAUUCAUAAGCAUAACACAAAUAAACCUAUUUUUCUUGUUCUCCGAAAGCAAAAUAUUUCCUGCUGCGCACACCAAACAAGUCAGUCCAAGACUAAUGACAUAGCAAUCGGCUGCUAAAAUAUUUGCUGCUAGUAUUAGUGGAGAAAAUGGUGCACCUGUGCAUAAGGCACAUAAGGGAAAU